rnacentral:lncRNA from 1 species
AUAUAUGAAUAAAAUUUGUAUGUAUGAUUUUUUCUUAUCUCUUAGUCAUUAUCUCAUGUGACGAUAAUGAAAAACUAAGACUUUGAGUUUAUGAUUUAACUUCCAGGAAGGGUCUACAUCAGUGGGUUGGAGGAGGCACAGUAAGAGCAUGAUGUGAGGACUCAGAGGGUUAAGAAUGUUUGGCCUGUGAAUUGUCUCUUGUGUUUUUCCAAAAUUACAUUCCUUGGCAUCUAGUUUUUAAAAGAUGGCAUGUUUCCUCAAUGAAAAACUAUUGUAAAAAAUGGGGUAGAAAUCUCAAAAGAUGUACCUGAGCCUGUGUCUCCAACAUGCUUCCAGAAGCCUGCUGUCUUCCUCUGCUUCUCACCCCUUAGAAAGACAGCAGCUAGUAUUCCAGAACUAUCUGAAGAAGUACUUAUUUUUUUCUAAAUUAAGUUCAUUUCUCCUCUUCAUCCUUGCUUCCCUCCCCUUAGUUCAAUUCAGUCGCUCAGUCGUGUCCAACUCUUUGCGACCCUAUGAAUCACAGCACGCCAGGCCUCCCUGUCCAUCACCAACUCCCUCCGGUAGUCAGAAUUUAGCUUUUGCUGGCCCAGGGCACUGGGCAGCCCAGCCUGGAGAGGGCCAUCCAAGCCCAGGAGUGGGUGUUGCAGGCUGCGCUUAUCUGCGGGCAAGGUGGCUUGUGAGCAGCUGGGGAUCAGGAACCACUAGGGGGCGCCCCUGCUGGGGAGGGUCUGGUCUGAUCGCCUUAACCUGGUCUCUGUUCAGCUUUGACUGCGCUUCAGAAUCCACCCAGACUCACCGAAGGACGCAGUUAUUCCUGAAUGAGGCAAAAGGACACAGCUUCUCAGUGUCUGCCUGUCAGACUUCUUGGCCUCGGGCUGAAAAUUUUAUGUAG